rnacentral:rRNA from 1 species
ACGAACGCUGGCGGCGUGCCUAAUACAUGCAAGUAGAACGCUGAAGAGAGGAGCUUGCUCUUCUUGGAUGAGUUGCGAACGGGUGAGUAACGCGUAGGUAACCUGCCUUGUAGCGGGGGAUAACUAUUGGAAACGAUAGCUAAUACCGCAUAACAAUGGAUGACACAUGUCAUUUAUUUGAAAGGGGCAAUUGCUCCACUACAAGAUGGACCUGCGUUGUAUUAGCUAGUAGGUGAGGUAACGGCUCACCUAGGCGACGAUACAUAGCCGACCUGAGAGGGUGAUCGGCCACACUGGGACUGAGACACGGCCCAGACUCCUACGGGAGGCAGCAGUAGGGAAUCUUCGGCAAUGGGGGCAACCCUGACCGAGCAACGCCGCGUGAGUGAAGAAGGUUUUCGGAUCGUAAAGCUCUGUUGUAAGUCAAGAACGAGUGUGAGAGUGGAAAAUUCACACUGUGACGGUAGCUUACCAGAAAGGGACGGCUAACUACGUGCCAGCAGCCGCGGUAAUACGUAGGUCCCGAGCGUUGUCCGGAUUUAUUGGGCGUAAAGCGAGCGCAGGCGGUUUGAUAAGUCUGAAGUUAAAGGCUGUGGCUCAACCAUAGUUCGCUUUGGAAACUGUCAAACUUGAGUGCAGAAGGGGAGAGUGGAAUUCCAUGUGUAGCGGUGAAAUGCGUAGAUAUAUGGAGGAACACCGGUGGCGAGAGCGGCUCUCUGGUCUGUAACUGACGCUGAGGCUCGAAAGCGUGGGGAGCGAACAGGAUUAGAUACCCUGGUAGUCCACGCCGUAAACGAUGAGUGCUAGGUGUUGGAUCCUUUCCGGGAUUCAGUGCCGCAGCUAACGCAUUAAGCACUCCGCCUGGGGAGUACGACCGCAAGGUUGAAACUCAAAGGAAUUGACGGGGGCCCGCACAAGCGGUGGAGCAUGUGGUUUAAUUCGAAGCAACGCGAAGAACCUUACCAGGUCUUGACAUCCCGAUGCUAUUUCUAGAGAUAGAAAGUUACUUCGGUACAUCGGUGACAGGUGGUGCAUGGUUGUCGUCAGCUCGUGUCGUGAGAUGUUGGGUUAAGUCCCGCAACGAGCGCAACCCCUAUUGUUAGUUGCCAUCAUUCAGUUGGGCACUCUAGCGAGACUGCCGGUAAUAAACCGGAGGAAGGUGGGGAUGACGUCAAAUCAUCAUGCCCCUUAUGACCUGGGCUACACACGUGCUACAAUGGUUGGUACAACGAGUUGCGAGUCGGUGACGGCAAGCUAAUCUCUUAAAGCCAAUCUCAGUUCGGAUUGUAGGCUGCAACUCGCCUACAUGAAGUCGGAAUCGCUAGUAAUCGCGGAUCAGCACGCCGCGGUGAAUACGUUCCCGGGCCUUGUACACACCGCCCGUCACACCACGAGAGUUUGUAACACCCGAAGUCGGUGAGGUAACCUUUUGGAGCCAGCCGCCUAAGGUGGGAUAGAUGAUUGGGGUG